UACGUAGGUGGCAAGCGUUGUCCGGAUUUAUUGGGUUUAAAGGGUGCGCAGGCGGCUUUGUAAGUCAGUGGUGAAAUAUGGCAGCUCAACUGUCAAGGUGCCAUUGAUACUGCGGAGCUUGAGUACAGAUGAGGUAGGCGGAAUUGACGGUGUAGCGGUGAAAUGCUUAGAUAUCGUCAAGAACACCUAUAGCGAAGGCAGCUUACUAGGCUGUAACUGACGCUGAGGCACGAAAGUGUGGGGAUCAAACAGG
rnacentral:rRNA from 1 species